CCCAAUAAAGUUAAAUAUCACGGAAAAAAAAGCCCUAACCUCUCUCUCUCACAUUCACGUCUCUCUUAGAUUGUCACCCAUCUCUUCCCAGCUAGCCUCCUCUCUCUCAUCUCGUGUGGCACCGCUCGACCACGCCGCUGCUGCCUUCCAUUCAGCCACGCCGUCGCUGGACUUUUCUGUGCCGCCACCACCAGGUGGUGUUAGGCCUCCAUGAAGUAUUGCUAAAAAGGUCAGAGCCAGUUCCAGAAAAUUCCACGGAUGAAAUAUGAAAAUGGUUAAGAACUGUUUGGGAGCCCUUGAUGGAGCAUACAUCAAGGUCAAUGUGUCUGCAGUGGACACGCCUAGGUACCGUUCCAGAAAGGGUGAAAUUGCCACCAAAAUGUUGGGAGUAUGCUCUCAAGAUAUGCAAUUUAUAUAUGUAUUUCCCGGAUGGGAGGGUUCCACAGCUGACUCAAAUGAGAUGCUUUAUCUAGGAGGAAUGGGUUGAAAGUUCCACAAGAUAAAUAUGUAUCUUCUUGAAAGUUCUACAAGGAUUAUUGCCGCACAUUAGGAGGGAAAUGGCUAUUCAUCCUUAUGAAAGACAAUUGGAAGUAGACGAAGACCGCAUGUUGUUUUCUUCAUAACUUAAUUAGGAGGGAAAUGGCUAUUCAUUACACACAUAUUGAAACAUCCAAUGCUUGGACUGCAUGGAUAAAUAACUUCGCUAGGAAAAUGUUUGACCAAUGGUGGGAAAAUCGCCAUUGAUAUGGUUUAUGUAUGACAUUGUUGUUGUGAUGAAUAAUAAAUAUGAAUGACAUUGUUGUUGUGAUUCAUAAUAAAUAUGUAUGA